rnacentral:rRNA from 1 species
GUUCCGUGCCGGAGCAUACGCGAUAAGCACCCCGCCUGGGAAUUACGCUCGCAAGGCUCUAACUCAUACGAAUUGACGGGGCCCCGCACAAGCAGCGGAGCGUGUGGUUCCAUUCGAUGCUACACGAAGAACCUUACCUGGGUUUGACAUGUACGUGGUACGAAGGCGAAAGCCUAAGGACCCUUCGGGGAGCGUACACAGGUGCUGCAUGGCUGUCGUCAGCUCGUGCCGUGAGGUGUCGGGUUAAGUCCCGUAACGAGCGCAACACAUUGCCCUUAGUUACAAGUGUCUAAGGGGACUGCCGGCGGGAAGCCGGAGGCCGCUGGGGAUCACGUCAAGUCAGCAUGGCCCUUAUGUCCAGGGCUACACACACGCUACAAUGGUCAGUACAAAGGGUAGCGAAGUCGCGAGGCGGAGCGAAUCUCAACAAAGCUGAUCGUAGUUCGGAUUGCAGGCUGCAACCCGCAUGCAUGAAGCUGGAGUUGCUAGUAACCGCGCGUCAGCCACUCCUGCGCUGAAUACGUACCCGGGGCUUGUACACACCGCCCGUCACGUCAUGGGAGUCGGUNACGCCUGAAGCCGGU